UUACUCUGAGAUCUCCUCAAAUCGUUUAAAUCUUUCGCCUUUUACUAAAGAUUUCCGUGGGGAGGUUUAACUAAAAUGAGUCUAAUAACAAUUUUUGUCAGCCUGAUUUACAAUCGGGCG